UUUAUGGAGAGUUUGAUCCUGGCUCAGGACGAACGCUGGCGGCGUGCCUAAUACAUGCAAGUCGAGCGAACAGAAAAGGAGCUUGCUCCUUUGACGUUAGCGGCGGACGGGUGAGUAACACGUGGGCAACCUACCCUAUAGUUUGGGAUAACUCCGGGAAACCGGGGCUAAUACCG
rnacentral:rRNA from 1 species